rnacentral:rRNA from 1 species
GACGAACGCUGGCGGCGUGCUUAACACAUGCAAGUCGAACGGAAAGGCCCUGCUUUUGUGGGGUGCUCGAGUGGCGAACGGGUGAGUAACACGUGAGUAACCUGCCCUUGACUUUGGGAUAACUUCAGGAAACUGGGGCUAAUACCGGAUAGGAGCUCCUGCUGCAUGGUGGGGGUUGGAAAGUUUCGGCGGUUGGGGAUGGACUCGCGGCUUAUCAGCUUGUUGGUGGGGUAGUGGCUUACCAAGGCUUUGACGGGUAGCCGGCCUGAGAGGGUGACCGGCCACAUUGGGACUGAGAUACGGCCCAGACUCCUACGGGAGGCAGCAGUGGGGAAUAUUGCACAAUGGGCGGAAGCCUGAUGCAGCAACGCCGCGUGCGGGAUGACGGCCUUCGGGUUGUAAACCGCUUUCGCCUGUGACGAAGCGUGAGUGACGGUAAUGGGUAAAGAAGCACCGGCUAACUACGUGCCAGCAGCCGCGGUGAUACGUAGGGUGCGAGCGUUGUCCGGAUUUAUUGGGCGUAAAGGGCUCGUAGGUGGUUGAUCGCGUCGGAAGUGUAAUCUUGGGGCUUAACCCUGAGCGUGCUUUCGAUACGGGUUGACUUGAGGAAGGUAGGGGAGAAUGGAAUUCCUGGUGGAGCGGUGGAAUGCGCAGAUAUCAGGAGGAACACCAGUGGCGAAGGCGGUUCUCUGGGCCUUUCCUGACGCUGAGGAGCGAAAGCGUGGGGAGCGAACAGGCUUAGAUACCCUGGUAGUCCACGCUGUAAACGGUGGGUACUAGGUGUGGGGUCCAUUCCACGGGUUCCGUGCCGUAGCUAACGCUUUAAGUACCCCGCCUGGGGAGUACGGCCGCAAGGCUAAAACUCAAAGGAAUUGACGGGGCCCCGCACAAGCGGCGGAGCAUGCGGAUUAAUUCGAUGCAACGCGUAGAACCUUACCUGGGUUUGACAUGGAUCGGGAGUGCUCAGAGAUGGGUGUGCCUCUUUUGGGGUCGGUUCACAGGUGGUGCAUGGCUGUCGUCAGCUCGUGUCGUGAGAUGUUGGGUUAAGUCCCGCAACGAGCGCAACCCUUGUUCACUGUUGCCAGCACGUUAUGGUGGGGACUCAGUGGAGACCGCCGGGGUCAACUCGGAGGAAGGUGGGGAUGACGUCAAGUCAUCAUGCCCCUUAUGUCCAGGGCUUCACGCAUGCUACAAUGGCUGGUACAGAGAGUGGCGAGCCUGUGAGGGUGAGCGAAUCUCGAAAAGCCGGUCUCAGUUCGGAUUGGGGUCUGCAACUCGACCUCAUGAAGUCGGAGUCGCUAGUAAUCGCAGAUCAGCAACGCUGCGGUGAAUACGUUCCCGGG